AACUCUGAGCAUUGGAUCACUCGGCUCAUGAGUCGGUGAAGAACGCAGCCAGCUGCGAGACUUGGUGUGCAUUGCAGGACACAUUGAGCACUGGUUUUUCGAACGCGCAUUGCCGUCUCGGGUGAUAGCCGGGACCUCGCCUAUCUGAGAGUCG
rnacentral:rRNA from 1 species